rnacentral:rRNA from 1 species
GAUGAACGCUAGCUACAGGCUUAACACAUGCAAGUCGAGGGGCAGCAUAGGCGUAGCAAUACGUUUGAUGGCGACCGGCGGAUGGGUGAGUAACACGUAUCCAACCUGGCAUAUACACAGGGACAGCCUUCUGAAAGGAAGAUUAAUACCUGAUGCCGCGAGAUAGACUCCUGUUUUUUUCGUGAAAGAUUCAUCGGUAUAUGAUGGGGAUGCGUCUGAUUAGGCAGUUGGCGGGGUAACGGCCCACCAAACCGACGAUCAGUAGGGGUUCUGAGAGGAAGGUCCCCCACAUUGGAACUGAGACACGGUCCAAACUCCUACGGGAGGCAGCACUGAGGAAUAUUGGUCAAUGGGCGAGAGCCUGAACCAGCCAAGUAGCGUGAAGGAAGACUGCCCUAUGGGUUGUAAACUUCUUUUAUACGGGAGUAAACUGAGAGUCGUGACUUUCAUUGCAAGUACCGAAAGAAAAAUUUUCGGCUAACUCCGAGCCAGCAGCCGCGGUAAUACGGAGGAUGCGAGCGUUAUCCGGAUUUAUUGGGUUUAAAGGGAGCGUGCGCGGUCUGUCCAGUCCCUUGGAAAAAUUCACGGGUCAGCCGAGUCCUUGCAUGUGAUACUGACAGCCUUGAGUGUGCCACUGACAUGAUAUCUUCGUGGUGUAGUAUUCAUCUGUUACUGUGUCAACUACAAGUCCAACU